ACUGCGAACCUCUUUAGUUUAGGACCAGCUACUGAGGCUAUAUAUCCUUCUUUUCUUUUUUUCCUUUUUGUCGUUUGAUUUGUUCUAUCGAUUCGUUAUUUUUGUCUCUGUGUUCCUUUUUGUGAACCUUGUGAGCGUUUCUACAUACACCGAGACUGCAGCUGAGAGAUGGCUGUGAGAGAAUUGACUACCGGUUUCUCACGCUGGUGUGUGUAGAAGCUCUGAAAAGCGCCGAGAUGAGACUUUUAAAAUGAUGUUGAAAAAAUCCAUUUUAAUCGCUAAAAUGAAGUCAAAAAAGUUUCUUUUACUUUUUAAUAAUAUUUCUACGAUUAUAAGACGGCAAAAAUGCACUCUAUAAUUGAUCAAUUGCUAUAAACUGCCAAUUCAAUUUUUUCUCAGCUCCAUCGUUCUUUGUAUGCCGAAGAGAAUUCUCUCACCGAAAAUGCAUGCUGUCAGUUAUUUUCUCAGCAGCAUUCUCGGUGUAUGUAGUAACGCUCUGUGUUGUUUUUUUCUGACUGUUGCUCUGUUUAUGAGUUGUUGCGUUUAUGAGUUCGGGUAGGAUUCUAAGGUAGUUCAUAUUUGAUUACAGGCGUCCCCCGAGUUACGACCCCCUCGAGUUACGACGAUUCGCAGAUACGACGAUUUUGAUUUUGACAGUUAAAAGUUGUCAUUGAGACGGAAUUAGUAUAUUUUUUGAAUUGCUGUGCUUAUAACCGUUACAAACACAUUUCCAUUGAUUCCACAACUCUCCGGUCUUGAAUUUCUAUAUCGCUUUUGGUGAAAAGACAUACAUUAUCGUACAUUAUUUUAAAUAAAAUACACGAUUUCUUAGAUUCCGACUCUUCAAUUUCAGUUAUAAACUUUAUAAUCACAUAUAUUCGACAUACGACUAUUUCGACUUACGCCUUGCUUUGGGACAUUUUUUCGGUCCCAAAUACAGUCGUAUAUCGGGGGACACCUGUACAGUGGAGCGCCGUUUAUUCGGGUACCUUUUAUCCGGCUAUACAGGUUACGUCAAAAGCCCGUUUUGGCCGAUUUCCAAUAAAAAAAUGAAUGAAAAUUUUGACAGACAAAUUGGAAUGGUUUGUUUACAAUUGGACUGGUUUGUUUACAAUUUGACUGGAUUGCAAUCGUGCAAUGCUGUGGCAACGGAGAAAUCGACUAAGUGAGAUUCCAGUAAAAAUAUGCUUUCGUUGUCGUGAAAAGAUCCAACAUGAAGGAGUUUAAGAUUGUGUCAGGGAAAAGGAUUACAUCGAGCAAGUGGAGAAUUAAUGUGAAAUCAUUCGCUUCUCAGCAUUACCAGCAUUACGGACAAGGAGAUAAACAAGCGUGUGAAGUACACAGCUAGAAAGCAUAUGUUGGAGGGAAAAUGUAUGCUGUUUUUGGAACUUGCACGAUGUCUCAGGUGGGUGUGCAGUGCAGACACAGUUUUACCUUACGAGUUUCUUUUCCGUCCAACAACAGUAAAGUAUAUAUGGAGAGGGAGGGGUGCAAUGUGCCGUACUUUCCCAAAGUAAUCACUGUUCGUAAUAGGUGAGGAAUAUUAUCAUGCCUGGCUGUUGCACAGUAUCCAUUGGGAUGAGGUCUAAGGCUAACGGACGAUGUCCCAUUCCGCCCUACUGCAACAUACCCAAGCGCCACAGAUUAAGCUUAAACGACUGGAAAAUUGAAUAUCCAUAGAAAAAAAAUGAAAGCUCCACAGCUUCAUUGGUUUGAUCAAUAGAUGGCGUAUUAAAACUAAUCAUUAUAUUGCUAUCCUUUUCUUGCAAUGUGUUUCCGACAAGUUUCAUCUUAUUAUGACCUUAUAGCCUUCUAACUUGCUGAGCAAAAAUCUAUAUAAAUGGUCGUGUGGUCAGAUACGUGGGUAUCAACACCAACGACUAGGCAUGGGCAAAACGAUUCUUUUCACCGAACGCGAACGAACUAGUUCGCUCACCAAAAAGAACCGAACGCGAACGACGAUUCUUUCGUUCUUUGUUUCAUGAGGUUUUUAUUCACAAAGAACGGUCGUUAUCUUUUUCAUUUACCCACCAUAGACGCAUACUGUAGCCAAAGAAGUACUCAUUCUGCGGUUGAAACCAAUAAUUUAAAAACAUUAAACACUUAGCUGUCUGUUCAACACAAUCCAUCGCAAAACCGACUAAAAACUAGCAUGUAAAAAACUAAUACGAGCAAAAAUGUCUCCUGCAUAUAUUGUACCCCAUGCCUUAUACACACUCAAGGAUUCUAAAAAACAAAAUUAUUUAAAUAUGGAUCAACAUGAUGAGCCAAACAAUGACUAAUCCGUUUGAACGGGCUUGAUCUAUUGAAUUGUAUAGGUAUAAUUUCCAUACCAACAGAACACAGAUCGAACACCAGUUCGAACGCGUUCGAUGAAUUCAGUUGUGUAGGUACGAUUUAUACACCAACAGAACACAGAUCGAACACCAGUUCGAACGCGUUCGAUGAAUUCAGUUGUGUAGGUACGAUUUAUACACCAACAGAACACAGAUCGAACACUAACGGAUCAGAUCGAAAGCGUUCGAUGAAUUCAGU